AAGUCGUAACAAGGUUUCCGUAGGUGAACCUGCGGAAGGAUCAUUAUUGAAUGAACUUGGUAUGAUUGUUGCUGGCCCAUCUGGGCAUGUGCACGUCUGCCAUCUUUAUCUCUCCACCUGUGCACAUAUUGUAGGUCUGGAAUAAAUUUCUGAGGCAACUCAGUAGUGGGGAUUGCUGCUGCGAAGUGGCUUUGCCUGUAAUUUCAGAUCUAUGUUUUCAUAUACACCAUAAAAAUGUAACAGAAUGUAUUAAUGGGUCUUGUACCUAUAAACUAUAUACAACUUUCAGCAACGGAUCUCUUGGCUCUC
rnacentral:misc_RNA from 1 species